UUGAAACUCGACGACAUUAGAAGACUGCAAGGUAUCCUUUAUGAGGCUCACUGCCUCUACCAGGGCAUCUUUUUUCUUGAAUUCAUCAACCAGAGCUACAACCCGUUUGAAGGGGGUUAUCGCAAGAAUAUCAACCCAUCCUUGGUUAUCCAUCUGGUUCCUCAAGAAGGUAUCCUUAGCCAGAUUCUCGUCACUGAAGUAGUAUUCAAUCUGGAAAAUGAGCCGCGUCUUCAAUGCUUCAAGCUCG
rnacentral:misc_RNA from 1 species